CGGAACACGUACGCAACCUUCCCGGAACAGGUGAAUAGCCCUGCGAAAGUAGGAUUAAUACACCGUAUGAUAUUUUGGUGGCAUCACUUUGAUAUUAAAGGUAGCAAUACCGGUUCUGGAUGGGCGUGCGCCUGAUUAGGUAGUUGGUGUGGGUAAUGGCCCACCAAGCCUUCGAUCAGUAACUGGUGUGAGAGCACGACCAGUCACACGGGCACUGAGAUACGGGCCCG
rnacentral:rRNA from 1 species